GACGAACCGUGCGAACGUUGUUCGGAAUCACUGGGCUUAAAGGGCGCGUAGGCGGGCUGGCAAGUCAGGGGUGAAAGCCUGCGGCUCAACCGCAGAAGGGCCCCUGAUACUUCCAGCCUCGAGGGAGGUAGGGGCGUGCGGAACUUCCGGUGGAGCGGUGAAAUGCGUAGAUAUCGGAAGGAACACCGGUGGCGAAGGCGGCGCGCUGGACCUCUUCUGACGCUGAGGCGCGAAAGCCAGGGGAGCGAACGGG
rnacentral:misc_RNA from 1 species